UACGAAGGGUGCGAAACAGUUGUCUCGGAAUUGAUUGGGCGUAAAGCGCACGUAGGCGGCAUUGCAAGUCGGAUGUGAAAUCCCUCGGCUUAACCAAGGAAGUGCAUCCGAAACUGCAGUGCUUGAGUACUUAAGAGGAUCGCGGAAUUCCUGGUGUAGCGGUGGAAUGCGCAGAUAUCAGGAGGAACACCGAUGGCGAAGGCAGAUCUCUGGGCCGUAACUGACGCUGAGGAGCGAAAGCAUGGGGAGCGAACAGG
rnacentral:rRNA from 1 species